GAUGCAACCUGGAGAGAUGGCGGAGACGGUCGAGGCGAACGCUUAGCACCGAGGGAGCGUGGCUGGGGAGAAAGUUAAAAGAGAGAAAAAAAAAUUUUUUUUAAGUGGGGGAGGAUGGAGUGAGCGUGCGAAGCGGGAAUCUUCAAACUCCGAUCCGGGGAGCUGCGGGGCAGCAGGCGCACCGGCAAAGCGAGCUCGGGUGGUGGCGAGCGACAGAGGGCACCGGCGCGGACGCGGGGGGAUGCCCACAGGCGAGCGGCCGGGAGCCGGAGGUCCCCACGGAUCCCACGCCGCCGCCGGGACCGUGCAGGCUAACACGAUUGGAGCCUUGAGCGUCGGUGGACUUUCCUGGAAAAAUAGGUGCCAGACAGCGGGAACGACCCCUAGGGGGUGGACGCAAACAGGUGGCAGAGCCUGGCCUCGGGCUGGUGAGAGCAGACUCUGUUGGCCUCUUUAGGAAUAUUGCCACCCUUAGCUGGCCCUGAGAUUUGCAGUCCUAGAUGAAUGAACUCAGGCUCCUGAUGAAUAACAGUUGCCAAGUCAUGGAAAUGUUAAGCCCACUCUACCAGACUUCAAACCCUUUGGCUGGCACUGACAGAGUUCUGGCAUGUUAUGCUGAUGGGUAUUUCCAAACAAUGGUAAAGGAGACCUUUAGUGUCUGUUUUUCUUAAUGAAUAAAAAGGCUGCAGGACUUGGAAAAACUUUAAAAUCACAAAGAUGUCUCAGUGUCGUCUCCGUUUGAGAGCAGACACUGUAUUUUUUGUUUGUUUGUUUGUUUCUGCCUGAGAUUUCCCCCCCUGUUGGCGUCAAGGCGUUUGUUAGGCACACGUUGGCUAUAAAGAAGAGAGCUCAAAAGCUGAAGCGUCUUAACCUGAAAUCGCAAAUCUUCGCUGAGUGUUUUCCUUCGACAGAUUCCAGAUGCCAAUCCUCAUUUCAAAAAAGCAACCUCUUCUGGGAUUGGAGAUGGGGACGAGGGGUGGGUGAAUAAACACGGAACAGGGCCGCUAAGGCUAAGGGACUAAAUAAAGUAAUUCAUGCAACGUG
ensembl:antisense Kcnmb4os2 potassium large conductance calcium-activated channel, subfamily M, beta member 4, opposite strand 2